AUGAUACCCCCGGUUUACAGAGCUCAUAUCGAACCCGGAUAUCUUCAGUUUCGGGCCUACAAUUCAACCGGAUAUCCGAAUGCUUUCUGUCCAGGUGUAAAAGUUAAAUCGAUAUCACCUGAGUAUUUUUGCAUCGGGGGUUUAUCGAACGACGCAACAAAAUAUGGAACAUGUGGUGACUUUGCAGGAUGGGGAGGAAAGUUAGAUGACGUCAUCGCCCAGUCGUCUGCAAACGGAUCUGCUCAUUCACGGAAAGAUAUUUCGUCUUCCAUUCUUAUAUUCUAUCGUUAGCAUGUAUCUAAAAUUUACAGUUUUUAUGCCCAUGUAUUAAUUAUCAAUCCGCCGUUUCGUGUUGUAAUGUUGUUACAUUUAUGCUUCUUUUGUAUGUCCAAUUUUCAUGUCAUAACACAAAAAAA